rnacentral:rRNA from 1 species
GACAUACCUCUGGUGUACCAGUUGUCGUGCCAACGGCAUAGCUGGGUAGCUAUGUAUGGACGGGAUAAGUGCUGAAAGCAUCUAAGCAUGAAGCCCCCCUCGAGAUGAGAUUUCCCAACUUCGGUUAUAAGAUCCCUCAAAGAUGAUGAGGUGAAUAGGUUCGAGGUGGAAGCGUAGCGAUACGUGGAGCUGACGAAUACUAAUCGAUCGAAGACUUAAUCAACAU